AACGAACGCUGGCGGCGCGCCUAAUACAUGCAAGUCGAGCGAGAAGACGUAGCAAUACGUUUGUAAAGCGGCGAACGGGUGAGGAAUACAUGGGUAACCUACCCUCGAGUGGGGAAUAACUAGCCGAAAGGUUAGCUAAUACCGCGUACGCUCCUUGGACUUCGGUUCAGGGAGGAAAGCGAUACCGUGGGUAUCGCGCUCUUGGAUGGGCUCAUGUCCUAUCAGCUUGUUGGUGAGGAACGGCUCACCAAGGCUUCGACGGGUAGCUGGUCUGAGAGGACGAUCAGCCACACUGGCACUGCGACACGGGCCAGACUCCUACGGGAGGCAGCAGUAAGGAAUAUUGCGCAAUGGGCGAAAGCCUGACGCAGCGACGCCGCGUGGGGGAUGAAGGUCUU
rnacentral:rRNA from 1 species